UCGAGUGGACUCUACCGCCGCGGUCUCUCUCUCUCCCACAUCCCACCGUCGGUGGAGGAAGAGGAAAACCUACCGUGACUUCGAACGAUUGAGCUCAACAUUCUCCUUCCUUCGAACCCUUUAAAAUCGAAGAUCUCCGGUGUCCUACCCCCGAUGGCGACGGUAGGCGAAACAUCAUCUCUCUGACCUCUUCUUGAUCCAACCGUUGCUUCUUCUCUUAUAUUGUUCUUCUGCUUUUUCUCUUCACCUUCCCCUCUUUCCUGGAUUUUUUAUUUUCUUGAAAUUUAGAUUUAUUGUUCUCCUUCUUCACACUGUUGACCUGGAUUUCUUUAUUUUAUUUUAUUUUAUUUUACUUUUUCUGUUGGUAAUCCAACCUCUUUGUAUUUCUCCGAUUUGGAUUAGGCUUGUGAAACAAUUGUCUUUUCUAGCCCCCUUUUAGUACGACAUAUUGUUGGUCUGAGGAACAUGAUAGAUAUGCUUCAUCAGUCCUGAUAUCUUGCGUUGUCUUUGGCGUCAGACCUUCUUGAAUUAAAGAAGUUGCAUUUCUUUGAUAAUGGGAAGCUUUUCGUGAAAUCUUAGCUUUGCCUGCGUUACGGGAAGAAGGAGCACGUCAACAUCCAGACCUUUUUGAAUUAAAGAAGUUGCAUUUCUUUGAUUAUGGGAAGCGUUUCUUGAAAUCUUAGCUUUGCCUGCGUUAAGGGGAGAAGGAGCAUAUCAACAUCCAGACCUUUUUGAAUUAAAUAAGUUGCAUGUCUUUGAUAAUGGGAGGCGUUUCUUGAAAUCUUAGCUUUGCCUGCGUUAAUGGAAGAAGGAGCAUCUCAACAUCCAGACCUUUUUGAAUUAGAGAAGUUGCAUUUCUUUGAUUAUGGGAAGCGUUUCUUGAAAUCUUAGCUUUUCCUGCGUUAAGGGAAGAAGGGGCAUCUCAACAGCCGGACCUUUUUGAAUUAAAGAAGUUGCAUUUCUUUGAUUAUAAAAAGCAUCUCUUGAAAUCUUAGCUUUGCCUGCGUUAAGGGAAGAAGGAGCAUGUCAACAGCCAGGAGGAGAUCCUGUUCUCAGAGACAGCGAUGCUCAGAAGCAAUGCAGUUGCGAAGAACAUCUUUGCCACACGAAAAUGCACUGCACCGCACGGUUAUUCUUUACCAGGUACAAUUUAUUUCUUCAUCAUGUUAGUGAAGCCAAAGAUUCAAGAUUUCAUUUUCGUUGGCUCUCAUUCAUUGAAGACAUGUUUCUUUUUUGCUUGUUAAUUACAUGACUGUUCUUUUCAUGAAUUGUUAAGUAGCAAGGAGAUAUGCCCAAAAUAUAUCAUGGGUAAUGCUUAGUGUUGUUUGUUGCUUGGCCUCCUCUACAACCGGAAUUCUAUGUUCCAGAAAUGCAUAUGUGUGUAAUUGGAAUCCAAAACAUGGGUGGAGCAUACUCUGGGCAGGAAAUUUGCUGGGUUUGUAAUUAUUUUAAGGUGCCAACCGACCACCACUGUGCUCUCAUGCAUAUAUUCAAACUUACAAAAGGCUGGGGUUGCCCAGAUGAGUUCUUUGUUGCCUUUGGUAGAAGGAAUUUUGACAAAAUAGAAACACAUAAACAAUUACUGCUUAUUAAGAAAUCACAAUUAUUAUCUUUCCCAGUUCCUGAUCUAAUCGUUUUGCUUGACUGCAGCCUCACUUGCGAACAUAUUUGGGAUCAUCCAAUUUUUGUAAUAAAAUUGUGAUCAUGUAGUACAGGUGGCGAUCAUCAUACGUGAUAAAUUGCACCAUUUCCAUGUGGGAUCCUGAGAUGUGGUUUUUAGGCAUGUUGAACAUGCUAGAAGGCCGAUACUGCCUCAACAGAGAGCAAGGCCAUAGGCCCAGUCCAGGAUUUCACCUAGGUUUUGUUGAAGGAUUAGGAGGAGAGCAAAGGUUCGAGGUUACCUUGGAAGUUCUGUUGGUGGUCUAGCAGUUUAUGCCUUAGCAUCUGCAAUAGAAAAGUUCUGCAAUGGUCGCAAGGCCAUAAACCGUGGUAAUGACGGAAAAAAGCAAAAAGUAGUAGAAAGAACUUUCCAAGAAAGAAGCAUCGGCAACAUUGCCUUGGAACCCAACGAGUCAUGAAUAUUAGAUUCUAAAUGUUGCUAGAACUGCAAUUCUUUGCUUUUACUGAUGAUUUCAAUAUCUUACAGGGUACAACCAAUGAUGUGACAGCCUUUCUAAUCCUUGGAAGAAGAAGAUAAAAGACUUAGCGACUCCGAUAUUUCAAGAGUGGGUCAAAAAUUUAAUACAGUGAUGGUGAUUAACAAGGGAGGGGAGGCACCCAUUUUUGUUAUUUGGACAGGGUACAACCAAUGAUGUGACAGCCUUUCUAAUCCUUGGAAGAAGACAGAUAAAAGACUUAGCGACUCCGAUAUUGUAAGAGUGGGUCAAAAAUUUAAUUCAGUGAUGGUGAUUAACAGGGGAAGGGAGGCACCCAUUUUUGUUAUUUGGAAAAUUCAGGCAGUGCGACUACCAAUAUACUCAUGACUAGAGCAGAAGACCUCUUAAUUAGUAUUGGAAUAAUAACAUAAAAGGAAGAAGCUGGUGAAUUCACGUCUACAUGUAGCCACUAGCUUUCGAUUGCUGCAAAUAUGCAUAUUGGGUAAUUGCACUUGUUUGAGGAGGUUGAGUGAUGUAAACAUAGACUAAGACUUGGUCAUGGGAAAUUUCUACUGAGGGUUACUUCCCUGCUUCAUAAAUUCCCCAGAAACUCGAAUGGGUACUCACUUCCUAUGUAUUUCCUUCAAUUUUUUUAAAAUUCAUUUGCUUGUAUCCAUUUCUGCAUCUACUCCCAGUUUUGGCAACUAAGGUUUAAAGCAUGACAUACCUAGAGACAUGGUGUCAAAGGAUGAGCUUCUCAUAAUGGAAUCAUCGGAAUACAGAACAAAAUCAUAAA